AUCUUUCUUGGUUUAGUAAGAUAUUCAAUACUUUUUUCCUUAGCAAUAUUAGCAUCGAAUGUGCAAGAUGUGCGAGACGUUUUAAAUUAUUAUAGACAGUUUGAUGAUCCAUUGGAAAUGUUUAAAGAAAACAGACGGAAAUUAUUGAUGCAAAUGGAGGAAGAGCAGAAUAAGGCGCAACAAGAUAGCAGUAAAGUACUUACUUCGAGAUGGAAACCAUCUUUCCUACGGAACCGCUAGUCAACUAAUGACAUUGCAAAUUGUGAAAUAUACAUCUGUUGAAUAUGCAAUACAUUCAAUCAUUUCAUCGCGAGAUUAUGCAUAAUGUGAUUACUGUAUAAUUUUUAUUGUAAUAAAAAAUAAUGUUCCAAAA